UGACUGAGGAGCAUAUAAAGAUGAAAGAAGAGGAACAGGAGUGGUUUGUGAAGAGGUCUGAAGACAACACAUCACCAACUCAGGAGUAUUUUGUCAAAGGGAAAAGGCCAUCAAAAUCACAAAACAUGUCUAGCGCUGGUGAGGGACUGAACCUUGUGCUCCUGGGGAAGAGUGGUGUGGGGAAGAGCUCGUGUGGGAGCACCACCCUCCUCCCCUGAACCCGUAACUCUGAAACCACAAAUUGCCCGAGGAGUGAUCGGUGGCACAGAUGUGGUCGUCAUUGACACCCCAGACCAGUUUGGUUCUCAGGUUAGCCAAAAGGAGUUACAGAAACAGAUGG